AGAGGACAAGGACAAAGGGGAGGGAGAAGGGGAGAGAUGUUGCUUCGGAUUGGAUGAAAGGUCCCUCACUCUAGGCGGGAGAAGGGAAGGGGUGUGUGUACGCAGAUGGAGGCGGAAGUUGUGACGUGAAGUAGCGCCCGGCAGAAUGGAGGCCGCACAGGAGACAAGAAACCUGACUGGCAUCAGACAGAUCAUCUUGGUCCUUUCAGGAAAAGGUGGGGUAGGGAAAAGCACCAUCUCUACAGAGCUGGCCCUGGCCCUCCGGCAUGCUGGCAAGAAGGUUGGAAUUCUGGACGUGGACCUCUGUGGUCCCAGCAUUCCCCGAAUGCUCAAAGUACAAGACAAGGCUGUGCACCAGUGUGACAAUGGCUGGGUGCCUGUGUUUGUGGACCAAGAGCAAACCAUCUCCCUCAUGUCUGUGGGCUUCCUACUAGAGAAGCCAGAUGAAGCUGUGGUGUGGAGAGGACCCAAGAAAAAUGCAUUGAUAAAACAGUUUGUCUCUGAUGUGGCCUGGGGUGACCUGGACUAUCUCAUUGUGGAUACACCACCAGGGACCUCUGAUGAGCACAUUUCUACUGUGGAAGCCCUUCGCCCUUAUAAACCCCUGGGGGCUAUUUUGGUUACUACACCCCAGGCAAUAUCUGUGGGUGAUGUUAGGAGAGAACUCACCUUUUGCAAGAAGACAGGGUUGCGAGUAAUUGGAAUUGUGGAGAAUAUGAGUGGUUUUGUCUGUCCACAUUGUUCGGAGUGCACUAAUCUUUUCUCUAAGGGAGGUGGGGAAGAACUGGCCAGACACGCAAAAGUCCCCUUCUUAGGCUGUGUGCCCCUGGAUCCUCAGCUUACAAAGAGUUUGGAGGAAGGCCAAGACUUCAUCCAAGAAUUCCCUAAAAGCCCUGCUUUCCCUGCAUUCAUUUCUAUUACUCAGCAGAUCCUGGAUGGGACAUUGGCUCAGACUUCCUAAUGAAGGCUUCUCAGAUUCUUGUUUACUAUGAUUCCUUUUUUGCUGCUGUUGGAUUCAGCCCUUUGCCUAAAAGUCAGAAGAAUGUCACAGAGCAAAGACCUCUAAAGAAACUUCCUGGAUCAUUCGGAAGCCCUCAGUGCAAAGGAGCCAGUGUCAUUUCUGCAAUUAAAAUGGGCUUCCUAAGGACCAGGAGUUUACUAUCAGUUUGCUGCUGAAAAAUGUUAUAAAACAAUGGACUAAGAAGAUUUAGGUGGUAGAAACAACACCACAGGUUGGACUCAUUAUCUUAGCAGUAUUCUCUGCAUCUGUGUGCAUGUGUGGGUUGGAGGGCAGGACCUGGAAUGUGCUGCUGUUUCAUGUCAUCCUUCUUGAAUUGGAGCAGGAAGUACUACUGAAGGAUAGAGGGAAGAGUGGGUAUCAGGGAAGCAUAUGAAAUGGGACACAAAAAGAAAAAUCCACUCUCUGGGGUGAUCCCUUACAUGUCACAUGUCCACCUGAUCAUGCAAUACCUAGUAUCCUUAGGUUUGCCUAUCAAAUCUGCUUACCUGUUAAACUGCUGUGGAGAGGGUUUGAGAUUCUAGUCGCUCUGCUGAUUUUCAGAAGAAAAUUCUCCUGGGUCUUUUAUGCCUGAGAUCAUAACUCAAGAUUUAUUCAUACACUAAUUGGGAAAUAUAUAGUUCAGUGAUGUAUCUGUUUAGCCCCAUCUUCACAACUUCCCACACAAUUUUUCCACAACAAUACUUCAAUCUCCCUAUUGACCACUUGACCUUUACAACAAAUUUUUUUGUUUGGCAGACAGGGUAGAUCUAGGUAAAGGAAUUAGAAUGAUUGAGCCUAGAAAAGGAAAGCUUGAGGGUCUCUCCCAAUCUCCAAGUAGAUGAAGGAAUCCUAGCAGGAGAAUGCUAGCCAGUUCUUAUCUCCUGCCUUCUAAAAGAACAUCACAAAGGAAAUAGAUCUGAAAUCACCACAGAAAACAGGUAAGAUGUGAGAAAUAACACUCUGAAUGUCAGGACUGUGAGAUAGGUACCAGAGUCUAUAAAUAGUGGAGAAGUUUAAGAGACACCAAUUGAUCCUUGGUUACCGAAGGUGUGUGGGGAAGACCUUUGGAUAUUCCAUUCUACUUAAGCAUUCUGAGCUUGGCCAAGAUGUGUGCUGACCUUGACUAACUCUAUCAUUAUCCCUCCCUUUGACCUGAGGAGGAUAACAUGCUGUGCUUUUUUGUUGUUAUUUUUGUGAAAUUGCUUUUAAUUGAUAAUGAGCAUCUUAUCAGGUAAGAGUAGAAACUGCUUUAUCCACCCCCUACCCCCAUUGUAAUUUGAUGUCCUUUCUGGUCACAGACCUUUUGGGAAUUGGGCUAGUCACCAUCUGUUCCAAACCCUCAAAAGACCCAGUUGAAAGUCCAAACAACCUGCCUGUACCUUGACUGCCCAAAGAUGAGGGCAUCUUGCUGGAGUUGAAAAGCACUUGUGAAAGUAUGAAUAAAAGGGAAUCAGACUAUGAAAUCUUCCCUUUGUCUGCUCUGGUCUCACUGUGGAGCCCUCCAGGGAGGACCUAAGGAGUACUAUGCAGGUCUCACAGAAGUGUUCAGGCACAAUCUGCUUGACUACGGGGGACUGGCUUGUCAUUUUUUCUUGGGUGGUAUAGUGAGGGUCACUACUAAGGAAUGAGUGAAAUUGAUUUCACAGCAAAAUAUUGCAAACGUUUGCUUCCGCUCAGGGGAAGUUGGACACGGGGUUAACAGUGAGCAAAGUGGUCUUCUUCAAUGUCACGAAGGUCAAGGCCAGCCACCUCCAGGGGAUUCUGACAGGUGAGAUUGUUGUAAGCAUACACAGGAGUCUGGCAGUCAUCCCUUUCUUGAAUGGCUCGGACGAAGCGGGGUACCACACUGGGUUUCUGCAGGGAGAAAUCCCUCAGCCCCUUUAGGGAGCAGCUACAGUUCCAUUCAUUUCCUUCCAGCCACAGCUGCUCUAGGUCUGGGAGCUGGGGAGAGAAGGCCCUCAGAGAGUUGUUCUUCAGGCUGAGGUACCUAAGGUUCCCCAAAGGUGCAAAUAGGCCAUCAGCUAUGGUUUCAAUGUGGUUAUGGGAAAGGUCCAGCCAGAACAAAUGCGGGAGGGAGCUGAAGGUGUCUGGGGAGAGAUCUGCCAGCUGGUUGUGAGAGAGGAGCAGGUACUCCAGGUUCUUGAGACCCUGGAAGAGCUGGCUAGAGAGGAGUGUCAGCGCAUUGGAUGUGAGGUCCAAUUCCAAGAGUUCAUGCAGAUCCAUCAGGCUCUGGUCCUCAAUCAUGGAAAUGCUAUUAUGCUUCAAGAAGAGUCUCCGUAAGCCAGGAAGGCCAGAGAAUGUGUGCCGCUGGACCCUGGUGAGGCAGCUGCCCUCAAGGUGGAGGCUGUGCAUUUUGCUGAGACCCUUGAAGACCUGUUCAGGGAGGCUUUUGAUGCAAUUGCUGGACAAGUUCAUCACAGCCACAUGGAAGAGGCCAGGGAAUGCCCCAACUUUGAUGUCCUGGAUCUGAUUGUGGUUGAGGGUGAGAACUUCCAGCUGGCCUAGACCCUCAAAUGUCCUCUCCCCGAGGCUCCUGAUUUUGUUGUGCCCAAGCUGCAGCUCUUCCAGGAUCUGAAGAUCUUUGAAGGUCCUGGGCCGGAGACUGGCAAUGGCAUUGUUGGAGAGGCGCAGGACAUGCAAACUGUGGAGGCCCAGGAAGGUCUCCUCAAAGAGGACACCAAUGCGGUUGUGAGACAGAUCCAGCCAGCGCAAGGACCUGAGGCCCAGAAAAGCUCGGGGUGCAAUGGUGCUGAUGAGAUUGUGGCUUAGGUAAAGCUUCUGCAAUUUCUGCUGCUUGAUGAAGACAUUGGUCUUGAUGCUCCGGAGCGCAUUGCCACUCAGGUCCAAUUCCCGGAGCUCAGUGAGGCUGCAGAAGAGCUGGGAUUGCAAAUAAGCCAACUUGUUACCAGCCAUGAUAAGCUCCCGGAGGUUGGGCAGGUCAUGGAACAGCGUGUCUGGGAGAACUACCAGUGAGUUCCAGCCAAGAUUCAGAUCCCAGAGGUUGGAGAGCCCAGCAAAGAGGCCCUCUUCGACUUUGCUAAAGUAGUUAUUGUUGAGACUCAGGGAGACCAGGUUCUGGGUGUGCAGAAAGGUAUUGGGGGCGAGGUAUUUUAGCCGGUUCCGUUCCAGAUGUAGGUGGUAGAGGGCCCGGAGCCCAUGGAAAGCAUGUGGCUCCAGGCUGCUCACCUGGCUGCUCUGCAGGUUGAGAAAAUCCAGGCCAGAGAGGUUUUUGAAGGCGCCAGUGGGGAGAGUAGUGAAGUUGUUGCCGUCCAACCACAGAGCCUUGGUGGUGCCGGGCAGGUCGCUGGGGAGCUGGGUUAGGUUUCUGGAGCUACAGUAUACGUUGAGCUCGUCACUGUAGUCAUCAUAGUUGCAGGCACAAACCCCGGGGCAUUUUAGGAGCUCUGGAUCACUAGGCUCCACUGGGGCAGCACCCUCCAGGCUCGAAGAGCACCUUGCUCCGGGGCACACCAUCGCCCAGGGGAGCAGCAGCAGGUGCACUGCCAAGGGAAUGACUCCUACGGGUGAGGAACAGAACUUGAGUUUAGCUGUGGCAUCAGCAUCCACAAUGGCUAUUGGAGAGAUUCUCCUUGGGUCUCCCUUUCCCAAAACCUCUAAGAUGAAAGGGCUGAAGCUCUUAAGAUCUCUAAAAUGGUCCUGGUUCUUCUGUGGCACUGUAAUCCCUGAAACUGUUCCCCUGUGAGUGUAUUUCUUCCACCUUCUCCUAUCGUUUUACUGCUCAUAGUGACGCAUCCUCCAUCAUCACACAAGUUCAGAUUUGUCCUUCUGUGUGUGACUUCUACUCCAGAGUCAAAUCUCACCCUGGUGUCUGUAUCCCACCCGACCUCCUACCCUAGAAUGAAGAAGAACACAUCCUGCUGUCUGUCUGUCUGUCUGUCCGUCGGAUAGGUUUUAUAACAUCCCUAUUGGAGCACCUUCCAGAACCCCUUGCACCAGGGUUCCCCUUGCUCCCUCUUUUGUGGAGACACUAGCAGGCCUGCGCCUCAGUGAACACAUCUUUCCAGCGAGCACCCUGUCUUAGCCUUUAGCUUGCCAAGCCCCGAACCCCACAGGGAAAUACUGCAGUUUGAAUGCCGGGGUCCCUGUCAUCCCAACAGGAUAUAGAUCUUUCGCAGAUCAGUAUAUAUGGAACUUCUCCAUACCUCUGACUCCAUCUUCCCCCCUACCACAUGGGCAUUGUUGCCCCCCAACGUCUCACUCUCCAUUUUUGUCCCUUGUGAAGCAAAUGAGGAUGGGAAAGGGCCAAAAUCUCACUCAUUUUUUCCUUCUCUGUGGGCCUAGCAUGGUUUUUUUUAACCACCACCUUCUGUCUUAGAAUCAAUAGUGAGUAUUCAUCCCCAGGCAGAAGAUCAGUAAGCACUAGGCAUUGAGAAUUAAGUGACUUGCCCAGGGCCACAGAGCCAGGAAGUAUCUAAGGCCAGAUCUGAAUCUAGGACCUCCUGUCUCCAAGUUGUGUGUGUGUGUGUGUGUGUAAAUAAAUAAAAUAGUCAUUAAUUUUACAUGUCAUUGGGGGGAAAAAUUAAGAUGUAAAUAAAUAAAUGGUCAUUGAAUCCAAA